AAUAUUUCAAUCUCAGAUCAGGUAAGAUAACUCGCCGAAUUUAAGCAUAUUAGUAAGCGAAGGAAAAGAAACUAACAAGGAUUCCCUUAGUAGCGGCGAGCGAAAAGGGAUAAGCCCAUCACUGAAUUUCAAAAAGUAACAUUUUUGAAAAAUGUAGUGUUUAGGAGGAUACAAUUAUCCUAGUAAUUAAUAAUUAAAUCCAAGUCCAUCUUGAACGGGGCCACAGUCCAUAGAGGGUGCUAGGCCCGUAGUGGUUAAUUAUGUUAUUAGGUGUAUCUCUCCUUAGAGUCGGGUUGUUUGAGAUUGCAUCCCAAAUUGGGUGGUAAACUCCAUCUAAGGCUAAAUAUGACUACGAGACCGAUAGCGAACAAGUACCGUGAGGGAAAGUUGAAAAGAACUUUGAAGAGAGAGUUCAAGAGUGCGUGAAACUGUUCAGGAGUAAACGGAAGAGUCUCGAAAAUUCGAAAGAGGAGAUUCAUGUUUUCUCGUAAAUUAGUUCAGUCGAAUUUAAGACGAUUAGUUUUCUGAUUUCAAAUUAAUUUGGUAAUUAGAAAUUUUUCGCUUAAUAUUCGAAUGUUUCUAAUACGAAAGACUGCACUUCUCCUUCUAGUAGGACGUUGCAAACCUUUUAUAUUUAAGAUUUAGAUGUUAAUAAUGGAGACUAUUUUAAAAUAAAUUUUUAAUUUAUUUAUAAGUAGACUUGUUAAUUAUCGAUGUUAAUUAGAAGGUAUAAAAUGAUAGUGUUGAACCGCUUUAUGCGUCUUUUUAUAAUUAAAAGGUUAUUAAAUAUUAAUUAAAUUCGAAACUAAAUAGAUUCGAUUUUAUUUAUUUGAUUCUUUAUAUUUUUAUAAUAAUAAGACCGGUUUAUAACACUUUUUAGCGAUGAUAAUGUUUCGGGCACUUAUCCGACCCGUCUUGAAACACGGACCAAGGAGUCUAACAUGUGCGCAAGUCAUUGGGUUGUAAAACCUAAAGGCAAAAUGAAAGUAAAAGGUUUCGGCCUAAAGGUAGAUCGGCAUAUUAUAAAAUAUGCUUUGCAUUCCCGGGAUGUCUAAUAAUUUUCUCUUUACGGAGGAUUUUGACAUACCUAGAGCGCACACGUUGGGACCCGAAAGAUGGUGAACUAUGCCUGGCCAGGACGAAGCCAGGGGAAACCCUGGUGGAGGUCCGUAGCGAUUCUGACGUGCAAAUCGAUCGUCUGAGCUGGGUAUAGGGGCGAAAGACUAAUCGAACCAUCUAGUAGCUGGUUCCCUCCGAAGUUUCCCUCAGGAUAGCUGGUGUUCGCGUGACAAGAGUCUCAUCCGGUAAAGCGAAUGAUUAGAGGUCUUGGAGUCGAAACGACUUCAACCUAUUCUCAAACUUUAAAUAGAUGAGAACUUUGGCUUUCUUAAUUUUUUUUUAUUUUAAAAUUUGAAGCCAAAGAAUUGGAUCAGAGCACCAAGUGGGCCAAUUUUGGUAAGCAGAACUGGCGCUGCGGGAUGAACCGAACAUGGAGUUAAGGCGCCUAAACAACGCUCAUGAGAUACCAUGAAAGGCGUUGGUUGCUUAUGACAGCAGGACGGUGGCCAUGGAAGUUGGAAUUCGCUAAGGAGUGUGUAACAACUCACCUGCCGAAGCAACUAGCCCUGAAAAUGGAUGGCGCUGUAGCGUUGUGCCUAUACUCCAUCGUCAACGACAAAGAGGGCGGUAAAAAAAUUUUUUUUUUUACUGCGUCGUUAUGUCUUGACGAGUAGGAGGGUCACAACGAUGAGCGCAGAAGGGUCUGAGUGUAAACUUGCCCGGAGCCAUCGUUGGUGCAGAUCUUGGUGGUAGUAGCAAAUACUCCAGCGAGGUCCUGGAGGACUGAUGUGGAGAAGGGUUUCCUGUGAACAGCCAUUGCACAAGAGUCAGUCGAACCUAAGCCCUAGGAGAAAUCCGAUGUUGAUAAGUGCAUUUCAUUUUUGAAAAAGGCACUCAAUGGGCGAAAGGGAAUUCGGUUCCUAUUCCGAAACUUGGCAUCGGAACCGUUUUAUAGCGGGCCCUCAUUUUGAGAGCUCGUCGGGGUGACCCAAAAAGACUCGGAGACGUCGUCGGGAGAUUUAGAGAGAGUUGUCUCUUCUCUAUAAGUGUUCGAGUUCCCUGGAAUUCUCUAGCAGGGAGAUAGGGUUUGGAAUACUAAGAGCAUCACAGUUACAGUGGUGUCUAAAUCUUCCCCUCGAACCUUGAAAAUCCGAGAGAGGGCAACGAGGAAUACCGAGCCAAAUCGUACCCAUGUCCGCAGCAGGUCUCCAAGGUCAACAGCCUCUAGUCGAUAAAAUAAUGUAGGUAAGGGAAGUCGGCAAAUUGGAUCCGUAACUUCGGGAUAAGGAUUGGCUCUGAGGAACGUGGCGAGCCGGGCUUAGAAGGGAAGUGGGGUUGUGUCAACGUACCGGGCCUGGGCGAGGUGAAAAGUAGUAAAAUAUUUGGAAUCUAGCUCGGUCCCGUGUCUUGAUCACCCACGGAUCUUCUUUGCUGCGAGUUA
rnacentral:rRNA from 1 species